GUGCACUGUGUAAUUCUUCUAAAAUAGGCGAUGCCUUUAAUAUUUUCUUUAACACAAUAUGAUAGUUUUCUCAUGCUUCCGAGUGCAAGAAACUCAUCGUGGAUAGCUUCUGAUAGAUCUCAGUGUGAAGGAAACAAAUUUCAGGAUUGUUUUACAGUUUUCUUUUUACCGCUUUCAAAUGUUUCCUUGUUAGAUUCAUUUCAACAUCAACUCCCAGACUUUAACCCUAUCACCAAAGGUAUAACAUUACCUUUAGGGAUCGAACUUUUAUAAAAUAUAGAAAUUUUACCCUCUCUUCGUAGGUUGAACAUGGUGUGUUUUGUUUUCAAAAGUUCCACCUGUCAAACCCGAUUCUGUCUUUAGACCAGUUAACGGUUUGUAAUUAAUGAUCGCCGAUAUUUCCCCACUCGAAUACAUUUUUUUUAGAUUUAUUUUUUUAGUCCGCAAUUUGCCAGCACUAAUGGCUCCCCCUUUUGGGUUGCACCUUUUAUUCCAUAUAAACAAUUGGCCAUAAGAACUGAUGGGUUUUGUUAAAUGUUUAUCUCCUUUGCCAUCAUCAUGGCUCACACUUGAUUGACAUAAUGUUUACGUAAUCGCGAGUAAAACCUCCCUAAGGCGCUGAUAUUAAGAGAUUUUACGCUCAUUACCGAUCCUGCCUUGACGAUAAGACUAUCACUCAGAAUAUACUCACUGAUGCGCUAUAAAAGACCGUUACCGAAUUUGUACAUAACAUAGCCGAAGUCGGUAUAUCCUAGCAAGCAAAAAUAGCAAAACCCUCAACACAUUAGCAGCUCGUGAAUAGUUACACGAUAUAUUCUAUAUAGCGAAUACUUUGGCACGGAAAUUAGUGUCCUACAUAUGGAAACAGACGAACGAACAAACAAAUCAUUUGCUAUCAUAGCAAAUGCACCACUAUGGUCAAUUCUCGUUAUUACGGACAACCCUGGGACUGUGAUUUGGCGACCAUACUACGGAGAAUUGACUCCAGUAGUUUAAGCUUACUGAUAUAAUCCCAUACAUGCUUUCUUUUUUCUCCAUGUUUUGCUAAAAAUGUAUUGCCCUUUGACAAUUGAUAGUUGAUAAAUGUGUUUUCCGAGCAACUGGUUAGACAUGACGACAAAUGCAGUGUAGUCCUUGCUAGCAGAAGCCCCUUUUCGCUGGCCUAGAUAUCGCGGCAUCUGCUUGCAGGGAAAUGAGCGUUCCCUACACGGAUGACCGACACCACUAUGUCACCGUGCACCCUCCGAACCCUCCUUCUAUUCGAAUUACUCUAAUUACGCCCGCAUUGCCCCUAACCGCCUCCAAUUGCACAUUUUUAAAUUACUGCCGAGUACAGUACAAUGUCAGUGAUUUAGUCAAGAGAGAAUUUUAUACGUUUACAAAGUCAUCUUAAAUAUCUUGACAUUCAAGGUGAUGCCUUUCUUUUAUCUUUGUAUUUGGAAAAAAUUGCAUUGGUUAUUAAAAAAUGGUGAGUUUUAAAUGAAGUAGACUACUACAUCUGUAAAUAUAGGCCUUAGGGGUAUCCCGAGGUGUCUGAGUUGUUGGUCGGAAGCUGGAAUUACUGUAUUGUAAACGUUUCCUACGAGCUCUUGGUGCUAUUUAGAUUUCCAUGGUCAUCUUCAUUGUGUUUUGUUUGUACUUCGAAUACUUUUCACGCCUAGAAUAUUGAAAUAGGAUGACACAAACAGUUGAGUUCGCACUAUCCUUUUUGAGUAAUGGUGUGAUUUGACUACCACUAACGAUGCGAGAAAUAAUCCAACUCUGAACUUGAGAUUUUGAGCGUAUCAGUAUCUAUUUUUGACAUAAAGAGGAAGUUACUUGAACACUUCUAGACGUUUGUCUGAUAUUACCGAACCUAUUCCGCCAUAGAUUUGUACUCAUAAUUAAUAUGGGAGUGAUCAAGAUUAUGAAAGCGGAGGCAUCCAACAUCGAAAAGUAAUAAAAAAUGUGUUUUGCUUUUAUAUAAAUUGCCUACAAUUGAAAUAACAAUACUAUGAGUUUGUCAUUCAAACAUGUCCAAUACGGUUUAUUCUUGAUCUUUUCGCUUCCUGGGAAUAGUAUAGUGGAUUAUGCUAUUGAGCCGUACUGUACAAUUUCCGAUGUUUCUAAACAAGAUAGACAAUCGCAAAUCGUCUAGUUAGUCAGGGACGCUGAAAUAUUUUUAUUCGUUUUGUUUUUAUCCAUAAAGAAGCCCACGAUUUUUUAAACCGAUUUCUUUUCCUUCUGUAUCACUUCCGAGCGAUAUGAAUGCAUCGUUUUAAAGUACAAAUCAAUAGGGGUGAUUCAGCUUAGUUUCAGCUACAGUGCUACGGAUUAAAUUCCCUUUUGCUUCGGGCAUAGCAAGAUAGAUGACCGCAGAGAAUAGUCCCGGUAUUGCCGCGAACUAAUGGUGUUAUUGACAGCACAACAGUGAAAACCAUGAAAAUUAUCUUAUCACUGGCGUCAAAACUGAUGUUUUUCCAUUAUAUUUUUAAGCCAAAAGCGAACGGCGGAUAACAAAAUGGAUAACAUAUUUCUGCAACUCAGAAAGACUUCAGUUGAGAGUAAAUUUGAUUUAAGAACAAAGCCCAUCACUGUAUUUUGUCUUGUCUUUAAAGGCACUCUAUAUCGAAGCCAUCUGCCAAAGCUGAACAAAAGAUCCAGGAGUUCUGUGAACCGCUGUGCAGCGGUAGGGCGGGCGCUGCCACCACAACUCUAAGUGAAUACCUCUGGCUAAUUCACUAUCACAAUACUACGGGUCGCAUGCCAGCGGAGUGGAUGCGCGCAAAAUUCCAUUCAUUUAAAAGUGCGUCUGUUUUGUUCGCGACUUAAUCCGCGUUUUUGGCUCUUUCCUGAGGGUGAUUCGAUCGGUUUAGAAAUAUAAGCGUGUGUGGGAGGUUUAUAGGGCCCGCCAACGUCUUAUGCACAACGCUUGGAGUGCGUGCACUUAGCACAGUGGACUUGAGACCAGUCGCCUCGCUCACUAUCGUGGUAUUACAUCUAAGUAAACGAGAUGUUCGCCGCGAGGCCGAACUGAGCCGAGACCCAAGUAACGCCAGACCCAAAGGGAAUGAGCGAACCGAGCACUCGAUGAUUCAGAGAGGACUAAAAUUGGGCAAAUUAAUUGACUGUCUAAAGGGUAUAUAAGCAGUUGAUGUGUUUGGUUGCUUAUGGACAUCAAGAAGAGCAAACUUUACGUUACUUCCUGCGUUUUGAGAAUCAGAAGUCUACUAGGUGUAUAUUGAAAGUGGCGAGUUUUGACAGGAAAACAGACUGGAUUUCCCCCAAGAACUUCAACCAUGGCGAGUGGCAAAGUGCCUUCGUGGAGCGAUUACCUAAUCGGAGGUGUAGUCACUCUCCUGUUUCUAGUAACUCUUUUACUAAAUAUUCUCGCCUUGCACUAUACUUACAACAAAAUUAAGAAGCCUUCCAACAAGAAAAUCCCACAUCUUCUUGUCGGCGCGCUGUCAACCGCAGGUCUUGGUAUAGCCCUGUGUAGUUACCCUCCAUUCAUAGCGUCUCGGUUUGUCGGGGAAUGGUUUUACGGUGCGAGUGUUUGUAAUUUCAUAGCUUUUAUCAUCGUGCUAUUUGGUUCGCUAACUAUAUGUCUGGUGGUGGUGAUGAGCGUCGAGCGUUUGGGCGCGAUUUGUUUCCCGUUUUUCUACAAAGAACAUGUGACAUUUAAAAAAGCGGUCUUCUUACUCUCGGUGGCGGUUGUUUACUCUAUAUGUCUCGCCGCGUUGCCGAUUGUGCUUGAUAACAUUCGGUUGAAUGUCUCUACCGGUAUUUGCUACUAUGUGAGCGAUACUCACAACACGAAUACACGGGUCGUCGUCUCCAUUAUGGUCACACAUUAUCUGGUAUCAAUCCUCGUCAUGUUCGUCUCAAACAUGGUUGUGGUGCGUGCCGUUAGCAAACUUGACAAGAACUGCGCCGGGGAAUACUCUCAGCGCAACGAGACGAAACAGACGACUGCUUGUAUCAGUUUCGCGAAAAUGGUAGCCGUCUUAGCGGUUUGUUAUACCAUAUGUUGGACAGCCAUCUUGAUGCGGAUCUUGUUACUCUAUGUGUACGGCUGGCACAAUCACUACUACGACCAAGUUGUCACUGUUCUGACAACAUUCGACCCGCUCAUCAACCAUUGCGUGUGCUUGUGGAUUAUGCGGAAGUACCGCGAUGGCUACGCCUCCUCCAUGGGCAGUAUCAUGUCCUGCUUCAAAAUCUCUGAUGACGGAGUCUGGGCUACAGCCAUCACCAGACUCAGUUCCAUGUCGAGGCGAUCAACAUUUUCACGUGCUUCGACUCGCUCGUCCUCACGGAAGAAUUCUAAACGUAAGUAGACAGACUGCUUUUCUCGUAACUUGUUGUUAUCCCAGAGGAGUAUGAUUCGACACGAAUUUUGGCAUCUCUUGGACCGUCGUUAGUAGGGACACAUACUGACAGGCCCGUAACUAUAAGGUUUUGCAGAAGGGUGAGAAUUGACGGCUGAACCAAAAAAAUACACUUCACGUGACAUAAGUCACAUGAAUUAACUGGGUUUUUUUAACACCAUGAUUUUUUUAAAGCUUUGAAACUGCACAAUUUUUACGCCGACUUCUUUUUUAUUACUUUUGAUUAUGUAGCCAUCUAAUUACCCCACCCCCUUGCCUCCAAAUUCCAACAUAGCAUGACACGUUUCGAUCGGGAUUUGGACUUAACCGAAGAGUUGUCUGCCACCUCACAUCAUAGUAGUGGGUUGACUGCAGGAUUGAUAAGGUAGAGGAAAACAAAACAUCCUUUUAAAGAUUGAUAGCAGGAUUGAUAAGGUAGAGGAAAACAAAACACAUCGUUUUAAAGAUUGAUAGCAGGAUUGAUAAGGUAGAGGAAAACAAAACACAUCCUUUUAAAGAUUGAUAGCAGGAUUGAUAAGGUAGAGGAAAACAAAACACAUCCUUUUAAAGAUUGAUAGCAGGGUUGAUAAGGUAGAGGAAAACAAAACACAUCCUUUUAAAGAUUGAUAGCAGGAUUGAUAAGGUAGAGGAAAACAAAACACAUCGUUUUAAAGAUUGAUAGCAGGAUUGAUAAGGUAGAGGAAAACAAAACACAUCCUUUUAAAGAUUGAUAGCAGGAUUGAUAAGGUAGAGGAAAACAAAACAUCCUUUUAAAGAUUGAUAGCAGGAUUGAUAAGGUAGAGGAAAACAAAACACAUCGUUUUAAAGAUUGAUAGCAGGAUUGAUAAGGUAGAGGAAAACAAAACACAUCCUUUUAAAGAUUGAUAGCAGGAUUGAUAAGGUAGAGGAAAACAAAACACAUCCUUUUAAAGAUUGAUAGCAGGGUUGAUAAGGUAGAGGAAAACAAAACACAUCCUUUUAAAGAUUGAUAGCAGGAUUGAUAAGGUAGAGGAAAACAAAACACAUCCUUUUAAAGAUUGAUAGCAGGGUUGAUAAGGUAGAGGAAAACAAAACACAUCCUUUUAAAGAUUGAUAGCAGGAUUGAUAAGGUAGA